AUUGAACGCUGGCGGCAGGCCUAACACAUGCAAGUCGAACGAGUGGCGGACGGGUGAGUAAUGUCUGGGAAACUGCCCGAUGGAGGGGGAUAACUACUGGAAACGGUAGCUAAUACCGCAUACCAUCGGAUGUGCCCAGAUGGGAUUAGAUAGUAGGUGGGGUAACGGCUGACCUAGGAGACGAUCCCUAGCGGGGCUGAGAGGUUGACCAGCCACACUGGAACUGAGACACGGUCCAGACUCCUACGGGAGGCAGCAGUGGGUAAUAUUGCACAAUGGGCGCAAGCCUGAUGCAGCCAUGGCGCGUGUAUGAAGAAGGCCUUCGGGUUGUAAAGUACUUUCAGCGAGGAGGCGGUACUCGCAGAAGAAGCACCGGCUAACUCCGUGCCAGCAGCCGCGGUAAUAC
rnacentral:rRNA from 1 species